UCGAUCAAUGCACCUACUUAUUAACGUCGCAUCGGCUAUGUGACUAGCUGCGUCAGUGGCUUUGCACCUCGAUCCAGAUUACUUUCAUGCAAAGCCUAUCAUGUUUGCCUUAUGUGCAGGAAUAGGCAAGCACAACAGAAGACCUGAUCAUAGACACUCAUAGUCUGAGGCAGUAUUAUCGGAAAGAUUGGACGCUACUUCUUCCUCCAGGCCCGAAAGAGAUCACGCUUCUCCACCAUCUCUUCCUCUCCUGGUUUAUCUUGAAUACACAAUAACUUUGGAUUUGAGAUCACUUUGUUUUGUACCAUGUGCUUGGA